GAUGAACGCUGGCGGCGUGCUUAACACAUGCAAGUCGAACGGGAAUUACUUUAUUGAAACUUCGGUCGAUCUAAUUUAAUUCUAGUGGCGGACGGGUGAGUAACGCGUGGGUAACCUGCCUUGUACAGGGGGAUAACAGUCAGAAAUGACUGCUAAUACCGCAUAAGCGCACAGAGCUGCAUGGCUCGGUGUAAAAAACUCCGGUGGUAUAAGAUGGACCCGCGUUGGAUUAGCUAGUUGGUGAGGUAACGGCCCACCAAGGCGACGAUCCAUAGCCGGCCUGGGAGGGGGAACGGCCACAUUGGGACUGAGACACGGCCCAGACUCCUACGGGAGGCAGCAGUGGGGAAUAUUGCACAAUGGGGGAAACCUUGAUGCAGCGACGCCGCGUGAAGGAAGAAGUAUCUCGGUAUGUAAACUUCUAUCAGCAGGGAAGAGAUUGACGGUACCUGACUAAGAAGCCCCGGCUAACUACGUGCCAGCCGCCGCAGUAA
rnacentral:rRNA from 1 species